rnacentral:lncRNA from 1 species
ACCAGGCAAGUCACUACUAGAGCUAGAGCGCCAACGGCACAAUAAUAUCUCUCCACGAAGUAAAGUCAAUAACAGAAGCAUUAACACCAAUAACAGAAUGAUACUUUCCACUUGCGGCUUCCUUUGGUACUGCUUACUUACCUGCACCUAAUCCUUGCAAGAGGGAGUCCCCACUACUAGGAAAACACGGAAUUCAUUUCAUUAUAAUAUAAUAUAGAAGAGCAACCGAGCAUACAAGAAACUACAGUCGGUUAUCCAUUAAGAUGUAAUUAAAGUAUCUGCAACGCGCGCAACUCUAAAUCAGUUGUUGGUUCCUCCGCAUAAGGAUCAGUUGUUGGUUCUUACGCGUAAGGAUAAGGAUCAAGUUGGCUAUGUUGCUUGUUUAGGAGAAUAUUGCUAGAGCAGUUGUCUUGGACCACUACUAGUUGGGGCAAUAACUACACUUUCUCCUUGUUGUCUUCCCCGACCCGACCCAAGAGUAAGCUAAUGCACCAGCACCCCGAACUCGGACAGCUUAUGAAUCCAAAAUCUUAGAAUUGAUGCAGCCCGAGUUGCUUGCGAUCUCCUGCCUAAGGGGGGGAAUGUUUUCUCGUAAGUAUAAGUUCUGUGUUGUGUAAUUCGGGCUGAAAGACAAUCAUUCCACAUAUUCCACAUAUUUUCUAUAUUUCCUCCUGGCCUGGAAAGCGGAAAGGGGGGAACUCUCCAACUAUGAAGGGGUAAAAAAGCAUCUUCUGUAGCUCAGGUAUAUACAGAUGCACUUUCGCCAAAACCUUGACUUCCCGCCUCAAAGCUAGGAAUUGACUCAGAUCUUGCCUCUGCCCUUAUAAUUAAAGGUAGACUCACUACUUCCCGAAUUAUGUAUUAGGCCUUAUCCAAGUUUCAUCAGUUCUAUUAUAUUAUUAAGAUAUAAUUUAGAUAGGCCAAGCUACUCCUCAACAAGCUACUCAGAAACUAUUGAAUACAUACGUUCGAACUACACUCCCUCCCUUAACAUCUAUUUCUUAACUCUUUUAUGAAUUCUUGUUUUAGUGACAGGGUUCAAUGAUGAGUCACUCGUUAGCACUUCGGUUGGUUCAGAGCACCACCACCCACUUCCUGGCUUGUUGGCUUUUGAAGAUCUUUCUCCAGGUCUUGCUUCUUCUGCAUCAUCUGAUCCAGCCCCAUCGUAGGCUUAGCACCCGACAC